rnacentral:rRNA from 1 species
UGGGGAAUAUUGCACAAUGGGGGAAACCCUGAUGCAGCGACGCCGCGUGAGCGAAGAAGGUUUUCGAAUCGUAAAGCUCUGUCCUAUGAGAAGAUAAUGACGGUAUCAUAGGAGGAAGCCCCGGCUAAAUACGUGCCAGCAGCCGCGGUAAUACGUAUGGGGCGAGCGUUGUCCGGAAUUAUUGGGCGUAAAGGGUACGUAGGCGGUCUAUUAAGUCAGGUGUGAAAGCGUGAGGCUUAACCUCAUUAAGCACUUGAAACUGAUAGACUUGAGUGAAGGAGAGGAAAGUGGAAUUCCUAGUGUAGCGGUGAAAUGCGUAGAGAUUAGGAGGAACACCGGUGGCGAAAGCGGCUUUUUGGCCUGCAACUGACACUGAGGCGCGAAAGCGUGGGGAGCAAACAGG